UAAAUCAUUAAUGUUUCGAAAUCGCAUGUCGCUAAAUGUUGCCAAGAUGGAGCUCCUGGUCGAUUGUCUCCUUAAAUUUACCGAGAAAUGCCAGUCAUAUUCUUCUGGCCUUUGGUGACCUUCAGUUCUAUUUCAAACAGAAUCAUUCCCGCACCUAGGAAGCCUCAGAAAAGCUGCCUUCACAUGCUCCAUUUGCACUCAACAUGAUCUUUUCUGUUUUAAGUCACUUGCCAAGUAGACAGAAAUGUGUUCACAAGCUAUCCGAUCUGAUCACCAGAAG